rnacentral:rRNA from 1 species
UAUAUCGGAACGUAUCCAAUAAUGGGGGAUAACUAGCCGAAAGGUUGGCUAAUACCGCAUACGCCCUACGGGGGAAAGCAGGGGAUCUUCGGACCUUGCGUUAAUGGAGCGGCUGAUAUCUGAUUAGCUAGUAGGUGAGGUAAAGGCUCACCUAGGCGACGAUCAGUAGCUGGUCUGAGAGGACGACCAGCCACACUGGAACUGAGACACGGUCCAGACUCCUACGGGAGGCAGCAGUGGGGAAUUUUGGACAAUGGGGGCAACCCUGAUCCAGCCAUUCCGCGUGAGUGAAGAAGGCCUUCGGGUUGUAAAGCUCUUUCGCAAGGGAAGAAACGAUACGGACGAAUAAUCCGUGUUAAUGACGGUACCUUGAUAAGAAGCACCGGCUAACUACGUGCCAGCAGCCGCGGUAAUACGUAGGGUGCGAGCGUUAAUCGGAAUUACUGGGCGUAAAGCGUGCGCAGGCGGUUUUGAAAGUCAGAUGUGAAAUCCCCGGGCUCAACCUGGGAACUGCGUUUGAAACUCCAAAGCUAGAGUAUGGGAGAGGGGGGGUAGAAUUCCACGUGUAGCAGUGAAAUGCGUAGAGAUGUGGAGGAAUACCAAUGGCGAAGGCAGCCCCCUGGGAUAAUACUGACGCUCAUGCACGAAAGCGUGGGGAGCAAACAGGAUUAGAUACCCUGGUAGUCCACGCCCUAAACGAUGCUGACUAGUUGUUCGGGA